UACGGAGGGUGCGAGCGUUGUUCGGAAUUAUUGGGCGUAAAGCGCGUGCAGGCGGUUUGGUAAGUCUGAUGUGAAAGCCCCGGGCUCAACCUGGGAAGUGCAUUGGAAACUGCUGGACUUGAAUACGGUAGAGGGUAGUGGAAUUCCUGGUGUAGGAGUGAAAUCCGUAGAUAUCAGGAGGAACACCGGUGGCGAAGGCGGCUGCCUGGACCGAUAUUGACGCUGAGACGCGAAAGCGUGGGUAGCAAACAGG
rnacentral:rRNA from 1 species